UCUGCAUUAGGCUCCACAUUCAUGUCGGAGCCCCAAAGCUGUUUCCAAUUGGCAAAGUCAUGGCCAGGGUGUGUUGUUCAUUAGUAUAUUUGUGGGAGGCUAUCCAGGCCCCAACCCAGUCACCGGCCGUGGGAAAUUCUUCCCAGAUCGGAGGACCCUCCAGGCCUGACAGAAAUGAGGAGCUACCUGUGCCUCUCCCUGGGUUCCUGCUCGGAGCUCCUUCCCUACUCGCGAGGAACACAGACAGUGGUCGUUUGGGUUCUGAUUUUGUUGAGUAACCUCUCGACGACUUGCUGCGCAGUUCCUGGCUCUUCCAUCCCACCCUCCUCCCUCUCUCAGCUGUUUUAUAAGCUGAAUUCUAAUCUGGGUUUCUUCACAAUGUCGCCUUUGACUACAAGCUAAUAAAACCCCAAACGGGAAAUUCAGGAGUAAUGGAGAUGCCACGUGACUGUAACCUAAGGUUGUUGGUCAACUUGAUUUGGUUUUCAAGCCUGUACCCCAUCUGGGGGCUUCAGCCCCCACCCACCUUUGUGGCAAUAAAGAGGGUCUUUGUCUUUUGUCACACUGCACGUGGGCCCUGAACCUUUCUGAGGAGUCCCACAGACAGCUCACAACACUCCAGGACCCCUGCACGCCCCUCUCCGUGUCUGCUACCUCGCCCGGGGCUCAGGAAAGCAGCUGCCUCACCUCCCAGGCCACAGACAGGCCUUACCUGCCACCUAACCUGACCAGAGUCACCACGGUGUCCACCCUGCACAACCAGGAGGCUGGUGGAACCCUCACACGGGGGUGGCACUUUUGUUAUGAGUAUGCAAAUCCUCACCAUAAACAUCAGAGAAGUCAAGGAGAAGAACAAGGUGUUUUGCUGCAGCCUGAAAUUCAAGGUUGCGGUUGAGCCACACUGAUGAAGAAAAGGAGGCACAGAGAGGCCAGGUGACUUACCCAAGGCCACACAGGUAGUGGGCAGCAGAGGUGGGAAUCAAGACCAGACUCCACACCCUAACCACUAGGCAAUACUGGUCUCCCACAAUACAAAACAACUGCUUGUGUCCUAAUCACAAAUGUAGAAAUCAAACGAUGCACCCAAACCCAACAAUAAGCCUGUAACCAACCAUCAUGAGACACUUCCACAAAGUGACACAUCAUACAUUAUUAAACUGGCCACUGAGCUAUGAAGACACCCCAAGCCGGGCCCACCAAGAGCACAGGUCUAAGAAUCUAUCCAACAGAAAAGCCACCUUGCCGUAAAGAUACGUGUACAAGUGUGCUCAGUGGGGCAUGUUGCAAUAGGGCGAAAAGCAUCAACAACCUACAGGUUCAUCGCUAGGUGAAGGCUCAGGCACAUCAAUGUCCGUCUUGGGAAUACUAUGCAACCACGAAAAAGGCUGAGUCAGUGUGUGUCUGUGAACACUGACAGCUCGGGUGCCAACUCACUUAGUGUCCACAACAACCCUGUUAGGUCUGUACGAAGAAUCUCAUUUUACAGAUGAGGGAACGCAGGCUUCGAAGAGGGUAGGUAACGUGCCCAAAGUUACAAAGUUUGCAGCUAGUUUGUAGGUGGUUCGAGAAUGCGGGAAGUCUGGCUCCAGAGCCCACAGUCCCAGCCGUUCGGCAAACACGAUUCCACAGACACUCUGAAGAAGGACUGACUGCAGGAGCUGUCUAUACCUGUUACCUCUGGGACGGGACUGGGAAGGGGGAGGGCGGUCGGGUUGGAGGAGGCCGUGGGUGUGUUCCUUCUGUCCGGUUUAAAUCUUUUACAACAGGAACCAUUCAUGUGCUACUUUCAGAUAAAGCAGCAUUGUGGAGCGAUUAAACUUGAACUAGGGUACCUGCACACCAAAGGCCCUGGCAACGGAGACUCCGCUGCCUGCAGUAGCUCCCUGCUGCCACCUCCCAAGGACCCGAGGAGGAUUCAGUGCCACACCUCAUGCCAGGGGUUUCCUCCUGGUUCUGUAACAACCCAUGCCCAAGGUGUCUACUGUGAUGUGGCACACAGGUAGAGGCUAGUUGUGUAGAUCACACAAGCUCUGGGUUCCAGGGCACCUGGCAGCCCACCUCCAACACCCCACUCCUCAAGUUUGGUCUUAAAGCACCACAUGGUCCCAGUCCCCCUCCUAGAGCUUCUGACCCUCCCAUCUACUGCCCUGUCAUCCGAACCCAAUUCACUUGCUAAGGCCCAAAUCAGAGCUAAUUCUCCUGCCAGCCUCAGUUUCUCCUAUUCCCUGCACACAUCAUUUCCGAGUAAUGCCUCCUUUGCUGGUGGAAGGUACCAUGUUCACGGGCCAUUCUUAGUUUAUCCACCCUCUUCUCCUUUCUUCACUUGAUAGUCUGUCUCACUGAACUCCUGAGGGCCACCUGCACCCUUUCACACAAACCCCCCACUACCACACAAGGGCAGGAGUUGCUAGAAACACCACCUUGAUCACAGGUCUGCUCUACAAUAACUCUAACACCCAAGGGCUAUUAUUUCAUAUGGGCCCUAACCAGAUGAGGGUUGUUUUUUGUUUUUGUUUUUACUUUUUAUUUUGAAAUAGUUUCAAACCUACUGAAAAGUUACAUGAGUGCAAUGGACGCCACCUACUAAAGACCCCAAAUGUGUAUAUUUAGUCUGUCCUCUCUCCAUAGUUUUUUUCUCCGAAACAUUUGAGACUACGUUGCACACAAGAUACCCCUCUAAACACUUCAGUGUACAUUGCCUAAAAAAGACAUUCUCUUGCAUUACCAGUUUAUUUGCCUAAUCAGGAAGUUAGCAUUGAUACAAUACUAUCAUCUAAUCUACAGACUUUAUUCAACUGUUGCCAACUGUCCCAGUGAUGUCUUUCAGACACACACACACACACACACACACACACACACACACACACACAGAGACAGAGAGAGAGAGAGAGAGAGAGAGAGAGAGAGAGAGGAAACAAAGAACAAACCCAUGGUCCAGGAUUCAGUCCAGGCUAAACACUGCUUAGAACGAAACUUCCCAAUUUCUAGACCUGUCCAUCCAGACUGGACAAGUCACUGUCCUCUCUGGGCUCCACCCUCCAUAAACUAUGAGGAUAAAAGGGCAGAGAAGCCAAGGGCAUUGCAAUCCUUGUAUAUUGAAAGUGAUCAGUCAGUGGGGCCACAAUGACUAUGAUAACCUUCAGCUUCCCCCAGGCUUUGGGUCAUUACUAGGUCAUUACUUUACUAGAUCAUUAUAUGCAUGUCUCACAUGUACCAUCUCAUCUAAACCCAACUGUUUCUACGAUCAUCCCCAUUUUGCAGAUGAAAAAAUUGAGCUCGUGGUGGUUGAGUAACUUGCUGAAGACCUUUCCAAUGCUUACAGAAUUAGAAACAAGGAUGGAAGAAAACAUGCCUUGUCAUUUGCAGUCUGACCAACCUUCGCUAGAUUGAAAUAGCCUGCUAGGUGAGAGGGAGGCAGAUCUCUAAAGACAGACCACCGAAGCUGCAGCGGCCACCAGACACAGGGUGGUUGCACAGCUGCAUAGCAAAAGAACGCUCUGGUCAAAAGCAGCACACAGUCCCUGAGGCAGAGGAGAAGUGGAUUCUGGGACCACAGUGAAAACAGAACUACACCAAGUUCCAUGCUGCAAAACAAUCUCUCCUUGUGGCCUGGAGUUGAAUUUUUGUCCCCUCCCUAUGCAUAGCUCUGCCCUAUGCAGCUGAAUAUGAAGUCCCUCUGUAGGAAAUUCGCCACAUCCAGUGAAAGAAUCAACCUUUGAUGCACUCACUAGAAGAGUACCAGGCACACACUUCUGCAUCAAGUGCUGGCUAAGCCUAUGAGGGUGCUAUCCCAUUUGACAGCCAGUUCCACGGCCCGCCCUGGUCUGAGCCGGCACAGGACAGAUAUCUGUAAGUCCUUACAUAGUGCUGGCGCCUUACAAGAGAAGCUGUUGGGGCCAGAUGUUUUGAAACAGGCAUCAUGUUAAGUGGACCCAUAUCCUUCCAUUAGCUAUGGGGCAAAUCAACUCCUUCCCCAGGAGGAAAGGCCAUGCAUUUGUCCCAGUGGAUUUGUGACCACCUUCCCAGGUUAUGUGACAUGUGGGAAAGUUCUUCUCUUCCUGUCCUCAGCACAGAUGCUGCUGUGCCUCUGGCUGCCGGCAGUUUGUAAAUGUAACAUUUCCCAGCUAAAUCCUGACACUCUGAAAGACUUCUUACGAUUUCUAUUUUUUUAAUGGCAUGGCCCCAAUAAAGGUGUGUGU